rnacentral:lncRNA from 1 species
ACAAUUUAAGAAUGUACACUUUAUAACCAUUCAUCCAUCGUUGCACAAGAGAAACUCAAAGAACAACACAAAGUGGGUGCAAACAAUGCAGUCAAAGCAAUAAUUCAAAUUAAACAUUUAGAUAGGCCAACUUAAAGACUUAAAGAUAACAUGAUAGAUAGACUCACUAAUGCAAAACCAAACAAACUACUUGCAGACACACAUGCAAAAUCUAACUAGACCACUAAAAUUAUUUAAUUCCUCUCAAGCAACAAACCCAAAUUAGAAAGUUUUCAUCUUCAAUUCAAGAGUCGAAUGAUCGAUGAAGAGGGAAGAAUUUGUAG